AGUGUAGGCGGCUAUUUAAGUCGGAUGUGAAAUCCCCGGGCUCAACCUGGGAAUUGCAUUCGAAACUGAGUAGCUAGAGUUUGGUAGAGGUAAGUGGAAUUCCGGGUGUAGCGGUGAAAUGCGUAGAUAUCCGGAGGAACAUCAGUGGCGAAGGCGGCUUACUGGACCAAAACUGACGCUGAGGCUCGAAAGCGUGGGGAGCAAACAGGAUUAGAUACCCUGGUAGUCC
rnacentral:rRNA from 1 species